rnacentral:rRNA from 1 species
CCUACGGGAGGCUGCAGUGGGGAAUAUUGGACAAUGGGGGGAACCCUGAUCCAGCCAUGCCGCGUGUGUGAAGAAGGCCCUCGGGUUGUAAAGCACUUUCAGUGAGGAAGAACGCCUGGUGGUUAAUACCCAUCAGGAAAGACAUCACUCACAGAAGAAGCACCGGCUAACUCCGUGCCAGCAGCCGCGGUAAUACGGAGGGUGCGAGCGUUAAUCGGAAUUACUGGGCGUAAAGCGCGCGUAGGUGGCUUGAUAAGCCGGUUGUGAAAGCCCCGGGCUCAACCUGGGAACGGCAUCCGGAACUGUCAAGCUAGAGUGCAGGAGAGGAAGGUAGAAUUCCCGGUGUAGCGGUGAAAUGCGUAGAGAUCAGGAGGAAUACCAGUGGCGAAGGCGGCCUUCUGGACUGACACUGACGCUGAGGUGCGAAAGCGUGGGUAGCAAACAGGAUUAGAUACCCCUGUAGUC